AGUGAACGCUGGCGGUAGGCCUAACACAUGCAAGUCGAACGGCAGCACAGUAAGGGCUUGCUCUUACGGGUGGCGAGUGGCGGACGGGUGAGGAAUACAUCGGAAUCUACUUUUUCGUGGGGGAUAACGUAGGGAAACUUACGCUAAUACCGCAUACGACCUACGGGUGAGAGCAGGGGAUCUUCGGACCUUGCGCGAUUGAAUGAGCCGAUGUCGGAUUAGCUAGUUGGCGGGGUAAAGGCCCACCAAGGCGACGAUCCGUAGCUGGUCUGAGAGGAUGAUCAGCCACACUGGAACUGAGACACGGUCCAGACUCCUACGGGAGGCAGCAGUGGGGAAUAUUGGACAAUGGGCGCAAGCCUGAUCCAGCCAUACCGCGUGGGUGAAGAAGGCCUUCGGGUUGUAAAGCCCUUUUGUUGGGAAAGAAAAGCAGCAGGUUAAUACCCCGCUGUUCUGACGGUACCCAAAGAAUAAGCACCGGCUAACUUCGUG
rnacentral:rRNA from 1 species